GACGAACGCUGGCGGCGUGCCUAAUACAUGCAAGUUGAGCGCUGAAGAUUGGUACUUGUACCGACUGGAUGAGCAGCGAACGGGUGAGUAACGCGUGGGGAAUCUGCCUUUGAGCGGGGGACAACAUUUGGAAACGAAUGCUAAUACCGCAUAAAAACUUUAAACACAAGUUUUAAGUUUGAAAGAUGCAAUUGCAUCACUCAAAGAUGAUCCCGCGUUGUAUUAGCUAGUUGGUGAGGUAAAGGCUCACCAAGGCGAUGAUACAUAGCCGACCUGAGAGGGUGAUCGGCCACAUUGGGACUGAGACACGGCCCAAACUCCUACGGGAGGCAGCAGUAGGGAAUCUUCGGCAAUGGACGAAAGUCUGACCGAGCAACGCCGCGUGAGUGAAGAAGGUUUUCGGAUCGUAAAACUCUGUUGGUAGAGAAGAACGUUGGUGAGAGUGGAAAGCUCAUCAAGUGACGGUAACUACCCAGAAAGGGACGGCUAACUACGUG
rnacentral:rRNA from 1 species